rnacentral:lncRNA from 1 species
GACUUCAUGCAUUUGAACAGACCAUUUGCUAAUGGUACUACCCAGUGGGCCAGUGCCAGACAGCAGACCCAUCCCCCUGCCUGCCAACGCUGGGAAUGCAUCUCCCCUCACAGAAAAGUGAAUUGUUACAGAGAGGGAAGUGACGUGAUCAGUGAGGCUCUUCAAAGCAGGCUGGAGGAGAGCACAGUCACCAGUACCCCCGUGUAGAUGACAGCAAGUGACGCCAUGUGGCCCACUGGGCCCACUGUCCACAGAGGGACUUAUGGUGCCGGGGGAUUAGAAAGGGUUAAAAACUGUGCACAUUUGUGAGGAGUGCAACUCUCAGGAAAGGCCCUGUAUUUAGUGGGCACCUCAUCAUCAUUGCUUGAGUUGCCUGCUGUAUAUCAAGACUAAGUUAGAGUUUAUUGAAGCAGGGAAAUGAGCGCUCAGCAUGGUUACCUAAGGACCAGAGUCACUUGUGGCCUAUCCGUGACACCCUCUCUAGAACGCUAAGAUGCACAGCUCUAGGCAGCAGGAGCCAGAACAAAGGCUCCUCCACCACUUCACCAGUGGACUCGAGCGAUGUCCUCACUUCUCUGACUAUCAGAUUGGCUGCUCGUGGGAAUGCUACCUCACCAGGUUAUAGGGUUUCACAUGUCUGGUACAGAAAGAACCAGCAAUGAAUAUCAGAGCGUUUUGGUAAUCUUUCGCUUAAUAACUAAUGGUACACAUAUUAGACCACUUCAGCAGGACAAAGAAUUCAGAAAUGAUUGUCUCUUGAGGAGGAGGGGGAGGAGAAGAAGAAGGCAUUAUAACAUGUUGGGAGGUGUCUUACACCUCCAUCUGUCCAAUAUUUGGGCCCUGGAAUGGCUUCCCUCUAACAGCUUUGAACACAUUCAGUGCUAUCUCUGGUCUAUUCUGAACAUCUUAAGCUGAAUUAGCAUAUAUCCAUAUCAAUUCUGCUAACAGCCAAGCUUUUCUUGCUGCCAGAGCAUACAUAUGGAAAUAAGCUUGCAUAGUUUCUUUGUGGUCUCUUUGUGGAUUCCAGUGGUGUUAAUAACAGGUCAUAUUCUCUCGAUUUUCUUAUUUUUAAAUAACUAGGUUUUAAAUUAUAGUGCAAGCGUGUUGUCUUAAACUAUCAACUGUGUAGGAUUUUAGGUUAAUGAAGAAACAAUUGAUUCUUUGCUGCCCACCUCCUGCUCCCAUUUAUGCUCUACAUAGUAACAACAUUUUACACAUCCUUCCAGAAACUUCCUGUCCUUUCUUUCAACAUAUAUUCCCAUGAAGUGUCUUCAUAUACACAAAUAUAACCCCAUCUUUCUUUCCCAUCUUCCCUCAUGUAUAUUUUCUCCAGACUCCAGAUCUUAGAUCUCUUCAUACUUGUACCUAUAAACCUGCCUUGGUUUUUUUGUUUCGUUUUGGAUUUCUUUUGAGUAACUAUCUGGUAUCCUUAAAAUAAGGUAUUUUUAUUUUAUGUGCAUUGGUGUUUCGUCUGCAUGUAUGUCUUUGUGAAGGUGUCAGGUUCCCUGGAACUGGAGUUACAGACAAGUGUGAGUUGCUAUGUGGUUGCUGGGAAUUGAACCCAGGUCCUCUGAAACAGCAGCCAGUGCUCUUAACCACUGAGCCAUCUCGAGCCCCAGCUAUCUGGUGUUCUUUAACCAGCUUUCCUAGAUGUAUAUGCGAGAUGUUUCUAUCUUUCCCUUGUACAAGCACUUUUAUAAAACACUUCCUCUGAAUAUAAGUCUUGGUCAUUUGAGGGGCUUUAUCUGUGAAGUAAGUUCUUACUUUUAAACUCUGAAUAAACAUUGUAUGUUUGUUCAACACUAGCAUAUCACUGAUACUGUUGGACCCCCAAAGAGAGUCCUGCCUUACUGAACAGUAGAGAGGCAAUCAAUACCUCAGGAUGCAUCAUUAAUUUUUUAUUGAUUAUUGGGGAAUCUCACAUAAUACACCUGUAUCUUGCUCACCUCCCAAUGUUCCCAUGUCUGCCCCCACCUCUCAUCACCCCUCCCAUGCACACAUGCAAAAAGAAAGAAACAAGUCCAUUUUGUGUGGUCCAUACAAUCACUAGGACAUGGUCAACUUCCUAGUAGCCAGCCCUGCAAGGGAAGAUGAGUCUUUCUCUGUCUGCAUCCACACCAGAAACAGUCAACCAAGGAAAAUAUGGUGGCUGUAGACAGGUGGGCCCAGCUCUCUCCGCAGCCCACACAUGUCAACAUGGCUCCAGGCAGGAACCCAGACCAUGGACAUCCACAUGGGCUUUGAUGGUAACACAGGCUGCAGACAUCAGCACUGCCCCUGGUUGACCCACUCAGGGCCUGCAGCAGCUACAGGAACCAUGGGCCUCAGCACAGCCUCAGGUGGCUAUUCAUGCCGUUUACAUCAGCAUGGCCUUCUGAGGCAGCAAAGUCUGAGGGCAUCACCAAGGCAUCAGGAAGCAGUGCAAACUACAUAAGUCAAUGUGGAUCUCAGGCUUCAUUAAGGCCCAGAGCCGCAGCAUGGACCACAGACACCAACAUGUCCUUUGGGGGCAUUGCCGACAUGGUGGUCCUUCCAGGAGGUCCAAUCCAGAAAGAGAACCUUUCAUUGGGCCUCCAUCGUUGUCCAAAGCCAAUGUGAUCUAGUGACCAGGCGGCAGGUUCGGAGGCUGUGUCUGACUCCACAUAAGCUCCAGGCUAUAGUACACCAUUCCACUGACCCUACUGGGCAAUGACAUGUCCACCUCAGCCCUCUCUCUCACCUGUCACAGACAUCAUGUCACCAGUUCCCUCUCUCUCCUUAACACACAGCACUGCUCUGUUUUCCUAUCUUUUCCACCUCUCCUUCACAUAUCUGUUCAUCGUAGUGGACCUGCAGGUGAAAGACCCACAAUGUGAGGGCUCCCCCACGUUCUGACUCAGGAGAGGCGACACCCCAAAAUCACCCACAAGAAACGGGUCUUGCUGCAAAUUGCAAGAGGAUUUUUAUUCAAGAGCGCUCUCGGGCCCAUGGUCAUACACCACGCAGGGGUAGAGGACCGUGGCGCCCCGAGUAGCUGGGUAAGGGGGU